GUGGCCUUGGCUUCCUGCGGAGAAACCUGGAAAAAGGAUGCCUCAUACGAUGGUUUGAGGCCACCGCCCAGCCUGGCUCUCCCAGUGGAAAGCUGUAUCCAGACCUAAAACUGUACACACAGUGCACUCUACAAGGGCUUGGGAGAAACUAGGGUACUCGUCAGGGGACUGUCUGGAGGCAUCGAGGACUCCUUGGAACUGGUCUCUUUUAAGUAACGUUAAUGAGCUUUAGCUACUGCAUAGGUAAAAUGGCAAAAAGAAAAGCCCAUUUUGACAAAAUUGUUCCUUGGUGCUGUCACAUCAGGCUGUCAUUUUGGCUAACUUGUCAAAAGUCCUUUGCAUCUCAAAUCUGAAAAAAUUCUAAAAUGCCUGAGCUCUAUGGUGAGCAGAAAACUGUCCUAUUUCUCCUCCUUUUCGACGUGGAUGUCUCUGCCAUUCUGAGUCUAUUGUGCAGUUUAAAUUCCCUUUCUUCCUUCUCCCAGAGCUCACUUUGCCAUGUAAGCAGUGAGCUCCAAAUAGAUUGGUUCAGCACCACUCCAAAAAGAGAGCACUCCUUGUCUGAGAGGAAAUAUGGCAACUCACUGAUGAAAACGUUGAAUAGGUUAAACCAGGCAGGAGGACUGUCAGAGAACAACAGCACCUUAGUCUUCAAGGAAGUUAUUCUUCACAGGGCUGUGGGCAAGAAGAAUGCUUUUGAAAACAACCAGAGUCAUUCCUAGAAGCAAGGACUAUGACAGGAGAAGACAACCUUCCUCUUCUUUGCUGUCUCUUACUCUGUGAUUUUUGUGGUGAGUGACUUAUUUUUCUAAUCACACAUGUAGCUCAUGAACUGAGGCAAUGCAAGGAGUUAUCUUGGUUCUUGGGUGCUGGUUUCUGGUCAGCCAACCCUUUGUUGUCUGGAAGGUUUGAUAAUUUUAGCUAAGUGUCCCUCUUAGUCAGACUAAUUAGAUCCGUAGCACUGUGAAGAACAUCUUACCAGGGAAUUGGCAUAUCAUGCUUCUAUGUAUUAACUCUACCUCCAAGGCUAGGAAACAGGAGACUGCCCUAAUGUCCAUGGACACCCUUUCACUUUUUCUCCAUAAAUCAAGAAAAUGGAGCUUAUAUUAUUUAGGCCGCCGUGUUGGAAAUGUGGGUCUCAUGUUUUGAGGGAGCCAACUGAUGAAAAAAUAUUUGGAACAUUUCCAUGGGGCAGCCUGGCUAGAAACCAUCCAAAAACUGCUGGCAGCCAGCCUGGGGUGUGCCUACCUGGUCUCCCUGUGGGCAGCUCAGGGCCAGCUGGAGGGAGAGGGUGUGCCCACAGUCACCACACUGCAACCCUGACAAACGGAGGUCAUCACUAAGGGCAAUCUGAGGCUGUAUGUAUUCAAAACCAGUUAUUUUAUUUUUUUCUUCUUCAACUUUUAAGUCCCGAGGUACAUAUGCAGGAUGUGCAGGUUUGUCAUAUAGGUGAAUGUGUGCCAUGGUGGUUUGCUGCACAGGUCAACCCAUUACCUAUGUAUUAAGCCCAGCAUCCAUUAGCUAUUCUUCCUGAUGUUCUCCCCUCUUACCCCCACUGACAGGCCCCA
rnacentral:lncRNA from 10 species